UGAAGUCGGAAUUGCUAGUAAUGGCAGGUCAGCAUACUGCCGUGAAUACGUUCCCGGGCCUUGUACACACCGCCCGUCACACCAUGAGAGUUGGAGAUACCCGAAGCCUAUGAGCUAACUUUUAGAGGCAGUAGUCGAAGGUAGAAUCAAUGAUUGGGGUGAAGUCGUAACAAGGUACC
rnacentral:rRNA from 1 species